UACACACAUGUUAAGUAAGCCAGG
rnacentral:piRNA from 2 species